rnacentral:rRNA from 1 species
CAAAAACAUCGCCUCCUGCAAAAAUCAACAUAUAGGAGGUCUUGCCUGCCCAGUGACUAAAAGUUAAACGGCCGCGGUAUUUUGACCGUGCAAAGGUAGCGCAAUCACUUGUCUUUUAAAUGAAGACCUGUAUGAAUGGCGGAACGAGGGCUUAACUGUCUCCCCCCUCUGGUCAAUGAAAUUGAUCUGCCCGUGCAGAAGCGGACAUAACUAUACAAGACGAGAAGACCCUUUGGAGCUUAAGAUAAAAGACCAACUAUGUCAAAAGUCCUAAAAAAGACUAAACCAAAUAGCACUGGUCCCAAUCUUCGGUUGGGGCGACCACGGGAGAAAACAAAGCUCCCACGCGGACUGGGGAGACCCCCCAAAACUAAGAGAGACAUCUCUAAUGCACAGAACAUCUGACCAAAAAGAUCCGGCUACUUGCCGACCAACGGACCAAGUUACCCUAGGGAUAACAGCGCAAUCCUCUUCCAGAGUCCAUAUCGACAAGAGGGUUUACGACCUCGAUGUUGGAUCAGGAUAUCCUAAUGGUGCAGCCGCUAUUAAGGGUUC